CCCUUAGAUGUUCGGGGCCGCACGCGCGCUACACUGAAUGAAUCAGCGAGUGUAUGUCCUAGGCCGAAAGGUCCGGGUAACCCGUUGAACCUCAUUCGUGAUUGGGAUAGGGACUUGCAAUUGUUUCCCUUGAACGAGGAAUUCCCAGUAAGCGCAAGUCAUCAGCUUGCGUUGAUUACGUCCCUGCCCUUUGUACACACCGCCCGUCGCUACUGCCAACUGAGAUGGGUCCUGAAUUGUUAGGAACGCCCGUCAAGGGGCCUACCCGGUCCCUAGUGCGGUGACGAGAAUAACUGUAAAUGGCAUAUCUUGUAGGGAGUAAAAGUCGUAACA
rnacentral:rRNA from 1 species